rnacentral:rRNA from 1 species
UACGUAGGGUGCAAGCGUUGUCCGGAAUUAUUGGGCGUAAAGGGCUCGUAGGCGGUCCAUCGCGUCGGGUGUGAAAAGCUGGGGCUCAACCCCAGUCCUGCUUUCGAUACGGGUGGACUAGAGGUAUGCAGGGGAGAACGGAAUUCCUGGUGUAGCGGUGAAAUGCGCAGAUAUCAGGAGGAACACCGAUGGCGAAGGCAGGUCUCUGGGCAUUAACUGACGCUGAGGAGCGAAAGCAUGGGGAGCGAACAGG